GUCGUUAGCUCAGUCGGUAGAGCAGCGGACUUUUAAUCCGUUGGUCGCUGGUUCGAAUCCAGCACGGC
rnacentral:tRNA from 1 species